rnacentral:rRNA from 1 species
UCAGCGGCGGACGGGUGAGUAACACGUGGGUAACCUGCCUGAUAGACCGGGAUAACGCUUGGAAACGAGUGCUAAUACCGGAUAGGCUGCUUGGUUGCAUGACCGAGCAGGGAAAGAGGCUUUCGCCUCACUGUCAGAUGGACCCGCGGCGCAUUAGCUAGUUGGUGAGGUAACGGCUCACCAAGGCGACGAUGCGUAGCCGACCUGAGAGGGUGACCGGCCACACUGGGACUGAAACACGGCCCAGACUCCUACGGGAGGCAGCAGUAGGGAAUCUUCCGCAAUGGGCGCAAGCCUGACGGAGCAACGCCGCGUGAGUGAUGAACGCCUUCGGGUUGUAAAACUCUGUCUUCUGUGAAGAACACGCCUGUGAGUGGAAUGCUCAGGCUUUGACGGUAACUGAGGAGGACGCCCCGGCUAACUACGUGCCAACAACCGCGGUAAUACGUAGGGGGCAAGCGUUGUCCGGAAUCACUGGGCGUAAAGCGCGCGCAGGCUGAUAUCUACAUCCGGGGUCAAAGGCUAGAGUUCAGCUCUGGGACUGC